rnacentral:rRNA from 1 species
CCUACGGGCGGCAGCAGUCGAGAAUCAUUCACAAUGGGGAAACCCUGAUGGUGCGACGCCGCGUGGGGGAAUGAAGGUCUUCGGAUUGUAAACCCCUGUCAUGUGGGAGCAAAUUAACAAGAUAGUACCACAAGAGGAAGAGACGGCUAACACUGUGCCAGCAGCCGCGGGAAUACAGAGGUCUCACGCGUUGUUCGGAACCACUGGGCGUAAAGCGUGUGUUGGCUGUUUCGUAAGUCGUGUGUGAAAGGCGCGGGCUCAACCCGCGGACGGCACAUGAUACUGCGAGACUAGAGUAAUGGAGGGGGAACCGGAAUUCUCGGUGUAGCAGUGAAAUGCGUAGAUAUCGAGAGGAACACUCGUGGCGAAGGCGGGUUCCUGGACAUUAACUGACGCUGAGGCACGAAGGCCAGGGGAGCGAAAGGGAUUAGAUACCCUAGUAGUC